rnacentral:misc_RNA from 1 species
AAUUAUGUGCUGCAUUGCCUGUUCAAAUUGAUGGAGAGCCUUGGUUUCAGGAAUUCCCGUGUACACUAGUCAUAUCCCACCAUGGACAGGCCUUCAUGUUGAAAAGGGCAGUUGAGGAGCCUCUUGGUCACGCAGCUGCAAUUAUCACUGAUGUUUUGGAGAGUGCUGAAUCAAAUAAUGUAAUUAAUGCUUCACAAAAGCGAGUACUCCUCCAAGAAAUGGCAA